ensembl:lncRNA
CUGAGUUUGGAGCAGAGGGAGGAGAUGUGCAGAUACAGAGCUAUGGCCAAAGGCUUGAUGAAUGAGACAACAAUGUAUAGCCCAGGAGUAUCUGAUGGCCACAAUAUUCCCAACAGUGUUCAGAUCAAACAGUCUCCAACAUUGAAGGAAUUCAGCCAAGAAGUUGAUACAACAGGAAACACAAGCAGAAUCAGCUGCAUCUCUAAACAUCCAGGGAGUAAACAAGAGGUUAUGAAAUAUCCAUGCUCUCCUAUUCUAUCAUCCACUGGACUGACCGAUGAUUGGAAAGUGGAUGUUGAUGCCUGUGAUGUUUCUGUACAAGGUUCUCACAGUGGGGGACCUACAGUUCAUAAAAGUUGUGAAGGCUUGGAGAUACACCAUCUGACUUUAGAUCCUCAUAGUGAUGUUUGCCCUCAGGCUCUGUCAACAGGAGACAUGCCAUCUGAGACUCAUCUAGUGGGUACAUCCAUUUAUAAUGAUGGUGUUGAAACAGAGAGAUUUGGUAGAGAGCGUAGCUCUAAGAUAGACUUUGCAUUACAGAAACCUGCUCAUGCUAUUAGUCUGGGACCCAGUAUCAUUAACCAUGUUCCAAUGGAUGCACAGGCUUUGGAGGAAUGUAUGGUUGCCACGCCAACACAAAUGGAAGAUUCACUACAAACUCACACUGACCAAGAUAGAUGUCUGUCUGGAGUAAACCCAUCAGAGGGUCCAUGCUGCACUGGUUUACAAAAGCUUUCAACACAAACUCCAGCGCACAAGUGGGAGCUCCAGACACUUAUAAGGCAGGACAGAAACGAUACGUUACCAGUACUCUCGCCAGCAGAGGAGAGUGUUUCUGAUAAAGAGAAUGAGGAUAUCUCAGAGGAAGAUGUUGUGGGAAGCGGGGAACACAAGAGGCCCAGGGGGGAAAGGCAGGAGCAAGGGGGGGUCCAAACCCCUGAGGCCGAAAAAAGGGCAAUUUGAUUGGACAAUGCCAAUGAUCCCAUUUGAAAAUCUGUGUGACUCCAGAGGAAAGAGGCAAAUUAAUUUAUUUAGUGAUGAGAGUGAAGUGUCUUUUGAGUUUGAGAAUGAUUACCUGGAUCAGAAAGCACAGAAUAAAAUGUCAAGCGGAUUGAAAUUGGUUGGUAGUCAAAAAGAGUUCACACCAGCAUUAAGCUGUUCUAGAAAAUCCUUCUGUGGAUCGCCAAUACCUGGAUUCACAGCGGGGAAGUUCAAAACUGUUCCCAUACCCCAGCUCUGUUUGAGUCCUGUUAGUUGUAAGAAAGGUGGUAGAGUUAAUCCUGAGAUGAAUAAACUUUUACACAUGGAAAGCAAAGUUUUAUCAAAUUUGAGUAACCCUGCCGGUCAGGGCAGUGGCAACAAGAGUGUGGUUGCAGGAGACAUACUUUGUGAUGGAAGCUCCAGCAACACACAACAGAUUGCUCAGCUGGAACUUAAUCUGUCUAGCCUGAAGGGCUUGAUCUCAAACCUGGAAUCUUAUCUAUCAGAGACAUGGACAGACCCGUUAGACGCGGACACAGAUGCAUCUGCUGAGUGUUCCUGCCAUGAUCAGUCUCAUAGCUCUCCUGUUGUAAUGAACCACCCAACCGACAGUGACAGCAAACAACCAGUCAUCACCGUGUCGGAAUAUGGGAGAAGACCAGUAAGUGACAAUGAGCAGCCACAGUUACAUCAGGCAAUGCUUCAGGAUGAUUUCCGAGUUGCCACAGGAGAAUGCCAGGAUCCACUACUUGUAGAUACCAGCAGUAAGUCGGAGCAGAAGAGGACCGGGCCAAAAUGGAAUGAGUCUCUCAAAGGUGUGUCGAUGAACCAGUCCUACGAUGUGGAGGCACCCUCCGGGCUGUUGCUGCAGGCUCAGCUCAGUGGUGGGAAGCAAUGCACUCCAUGGACUGACUGUCACGGUGUGGCUUUUCAUGCCAAACGAAGACUCGUCAUGAAGUCGGUGGACAGAAAUUCUUCAACUUCACCGGAUCAAACAUCUGGCAUUAUAGGAAAGUCCCCGUCCAGCGCUGACAAAGGUUUCAUCCAAAAGCAGUGGAGAUGUGGUCAGAAGCUGGAGAUGAAGCUGGGGAAGUAAAGAGGUCAUGUCCUUUAAAACCAUCACUGUGCCCAGGAGUACCUCAGCUGACUUGUCUAAGUGAGCAUGCCAACUUUUCCUGCUCAGUAGAACUCCUUCGUAGGUGACUGGAUUGAGAAUCUCACUGGAUGGAGAUGCUUUAAAAUACUGCAAAGUUGGAAUGUCUGCUGUUAAAAUCAUUUUCGUUCUUUCACUCUUUUUUUGUACAUAUACUGUUAUGGUUUGCUUCAUAUUUAAUGUCAGAUUGUUUUUAAUAAAGUUAUUUUUUAAUUUAUUGUGUUUGCA